rnacentral:rRNA from 1 species
AUUGAACGCUGGCGGCAGGCUUAAUACAUGCAAGUCGAGGGGCAGCACAGAUAGCAAUAUUGGGUGGCGACCGGCAAACGGGUGCGGAACACGUACACAACCCUCCUUUUGGUGGGGGAUAGCCUUUGGAAACGGAGAUUAAUACCCCAUAAGAUAUUGGAAUCGCAUGGUUUUGAUAUUAAAGAUUUAUUGCCAGAAGAUGGGUGUGCGUAUGAUUAGGUAGUUGGUGAGGUAAAGGCUCACCAAGCCGACGAUCAUUAACUGGUGUGAGAGCACGAACAGUCAGACGGGAAGUGAGACACGGGCCCGACUCCUACGGGAGGCAGCAGUAAGGAAUAUUGGUCCAUGGACGGAAGUCUGAACCAGCCAUGCCGCGUGGAGGAUGAAGGUCCUCUGGAUUGUAAACUUCUUUUAUAUGGGGCGAAAAAGGGCCAUUCUUGGUCAACUGACGGUACCAUAUGAAUAAGCACCGGCUAACUCCGUGCCAGCCGCCGCAGUAACAC